rnacentral:pre_miRNA from 1 species
CAAAGUGCUUACAGUGCAGGUAGUGAUAUAAGAACCUACUGCAGUGAAGGCACUUGUAGC